rnacentral:rRNA from 1 species
GUCCUUUGUAAAAUUUAAGGUCUAGUCUGCCCUCUGAUUUUUGAAUGGCCGCGGUAUUUUGACCGUGCUAAGGUAGCAUAAUCAUUAGUUUUUUAAUUGAAAGCUGGAAUGAAGGGCUGGAUGAAAAAGAAACUGUUUUUAUUUAAUUAAAUUAAAAUUUUAUUUUUAAGUUAAAAAGCUUAAAUUAAAUUAAAAGACGAGAAGACCCUAUAGAGUUUAAUAAUUAAAUUUAUAUUUAAGUUAGUAUUUAUUUUAUUAUAAUUUAUAGUUAUUUAAUUGGGGUGAUUAAAAAAUUUAUUUAACUUUUUUAUAUUUUUAUAUUAAUUUAUAUAUUUUUGAUCCAAUAAUUUUGAUUAAAAGAUAAAAUUACCUUAGGGAUAACAGCGUUAUUUUAUUAGAGAGUUCUAAUCGAUAAUAAAGUUUGCGACCUCGAUGUUGGAUUAAAGUUUAUAAUUGGUGUAGAAGCUACAUUAGUAAGUCUGUUCGACU